UACGUAGGGACCAAGCGUUGUUCGGAUUUACUGGGCGUAAAGGGCGCGUAGGCGGCGCGGUAAGUCACUUGUGAAAUCUCUGAGCUUAACUCAGAACGGCCAAGUGAUACUGCAGUGCUAGAGUGUGGAAGGGGCAAUCGGAAUUCUUGGUGUAGCGGUGAAAUGCGUAGAUAUCAAGAGGAACACCUGAGGUGAAGACGGGUUGCUGGGCCAAACACUGACGCUGAGGCGCGAAAGCCAGGGGAGCAAACGGGG
rnacentral:rRNA from 1 species